rnacentral:rRNA from 1 species
UACGUAGGAGGCGAGCGUUGUCCGGAGUUACUGGGCGUAAAGCGCACGCAGGCGGUCUAAUUAGUCUGCAGGGACAGGGCACAGCUUAACUGUGUCAGGCCUGUGGAAACUGUUGGACUUGAGGGCUUCAGAGGGAUGGGGAAUUCCGGGUGGAGUGGUGAAAUGCGUAGAGAUCCGGAAGAACACCAGUGGCGAAGGCGGCUCACUGGCCCGGUACUGACGCUGAGGUGCGAAAGCUAGGGGAGCAAACGGG